rnacentral:lncRNA from 1 species
UUUGUUCUGUUCUAUUUUGUUUUGUUUUGUUGAACUACCAUUGUUGCAAUCUCUAUGAUACUUUGGAUCUGCUCUGUGCUGGUUAUAUGGCCACUGUAAUAACCCAAAUUUGCCCGGCCCACAUACAUUUCAGAAAAAAAUAAAUAAAUAAACCAAAAAAAUACUAAAAGUCCAAUGUCCAGAUUACAAAACACCCACCAAACCAAAUUAACCCACUAGCCUAAAGCCAAUUAGCCUAAGCCCAAUACCUUAGCCCAACUAGCCUAAACCAGAAAUCAACAAACCCUAGCAGCAUUCAGCCUCCAC